CGGACGGAGUAAUGCGUGACCAACCUGCCCCAUGCUCCAGAAUAGCUCUUGGAAACGGGUGGUAAUGCUGGAUGCUCCAACUUGACGCAUGUCUUGUUGGGAAAGUGUUUAGUGGCAUGGGAUGGGGUCGCGUCCUAUCAGCUUGUAGGCGGGGUAAUGGCCCACCUAGGCUUCGACGGGUAGCCGGCCUGAGAGGGCGGACGGCCACAUUGGGACUGAGAUACGGCCCAGACUCCUACGGGAGGCAGCAGC
rnacentral:rRNA from 1 species